UACGACUACAUAUCAGGCAUAUCAAUAAGCGGAGGAAAAGAAACUAACAAGGAUUCCCCUUAGUAACGGCGAGUGAAGCGGGAAGAGCUCAAAUUUGAAAUCUUCAAGGGUUCUACCUUUACGAAUUGUAGUUUAAAGAAGUGUUUUCUGUUAGAUGAGUUAGGCUAAAAGUUCUCUUGGAAUAGGGACAUCAUAGAGGGUGAGAAUCCCGUAUUUGACGUUAUUCAUUCUAGCUGUGUGAUACACUUUCAAAGAGUCGGAUUGUUUGGGAAUGCAGUCCAAGAUGGGUGGUAAAUUUCAUCUAAAGCUAAAUAUUGGCGAGAGACCGAUAGCGAACAAGUACCGUGAGGGAAAGAUGAAAAGAACUUUGAAAAGAGAGUUAAACAGUACGUGAAAUUGUCAAAAGGGAAGCGUUUGACACCAGUGUUGUUUCUCCGAAAAUCAAUUACGAAUGGCUUGAUUUUGUGUUGUAUUGACCUUAUCAGCUUUCUUCACUUUUUUCGAGUCUUUCUUAAUGCACUUUUCGGUUAACAAGUCAACAUCAAUUUCUUUUGUUGUAAAAGAGUAUUCGGAAGGUGGCUUUCUUUUCGGAGAAAGUGUUUAUAGCCCUAUACUUCUACAAUCGGAGAGAUUGAGGUCUGCAGCGUAGAUCCUUCGGGGUUAGAUACAUUUGUGCUAAGUUAUAGCUUGUCAUAGACAACUUGUUGACUAUGUUUAGUCAUGUCGCUUACUCGCUGAUGCUAUUUUACCUACGCUUAGGAUGUUGAGUAGCGACAUACGCAC
rnacentral:rRNA from 1 species